rnacentral:rRNA from 1 species
GACGAACGCUGGCGGCGUGCCUAAUACAUGCAAGUCGAGCGGACUUGAAGGAGUGCUUGCACUCCUGAGAGUUAGCGGCGGACGGGUGAGUAACACGUAGGCAACCUGCCCUCAAGACUGGGAUAACUACCGGAAACGGUAGCUAAUACCGGAUAAUUUAUUACAUAGCAUUAUGUGAUAAUGAAAGACGGAGCAAUCUGUCACUUGGGGAUGGGCCUGCGGCGCAUUAGCUAGUUGGUGGGGUAACGGCCCACCAAGGCGACGAUGCGUAGCCGACCUGAGAGGAUGAACGGCCACACUGGGACUGAGACACGGCCCAGACUCCUACGGGAGGCAGCAGUAGGGAAUCUUCCGCAAUGGGCGAAAGCCUGACGGAGCAACGCCGCGUGAGUGAUGAAGGUUUUCGGAUCGUAAAGCUCUGUUGCCAAGGAAGAACGUCUGAUAGAGUAACUGCUAUGAGAGUGACGGUACUUGAGAAGAAAGCCCCGGCUAACUACGUG